GGACAUUUAUAUUCAAAAUCCUCUUUAUCAAGGCCUGUGUUGCAAUCAGUUUAUUUGUGUGGUAAAGAAAAUCAGAGUAAGGAAUGGAAAAGUCUUGACUCAUGCAUGUGUAAACCCUGUAAAAAUGCUCAUGGCUCUAAGAUGCAUUUCUUCGGCUCUCGCUGGUGGCUGGAGGAAAUGGGUGUGCCUGAGGAUUCCCCAUACAUGGCAAAAUCUUACAAGCGCUGUCACAACUAUAUGAGCAAAACCCUGACCCAGAGUCCAGAGGAAGGAGGAGUUGAUUCUGAACUUUGCAUCUGGGUGUGUUACACAGGGAACCCAAUUCAUGAAAGAUGGGGCAGGAUCUCAGAGGGCAGAGACUGGGAAAAGUACCUUCCAGGUGGAAGAGACUCAAAAGUUCUAGAGAGAGCAACGGGGAGAGAGGCGGGUGCCCCCAGGAGAGCCAGUCCUCAAGCAGCAGCCUGGUGGACCUGGUUUUUAGCCCUUGGCUCUGAGGCCAGAGUAAAACUAAAAUCUUGUACUUUUUAUCACUGUUUUCAUAUUGUGCUGUACAAGUUUGGAAACUAGCGCAGGCAUGAAUUUUUGAAGAAGUCAGAAUGUUUUGUUUGGAAUUUAAAGGGGCAUUUUUAUCAGUAAUAGCAUAUUCAAAUAAUCUUGGAAUCUAGAAACUUUUCCACAACCUCUGCCCGUUCCUCCAGGGAGCUAGUUACCUGGCAGGAUGCUCAGUAGCUGACUGGUGAAGUCACCCUUUUUCACGGACUGCUGUAGAUGUGAGUGGGGCCCCGGCUGCAUGAUUCCAGGCCAACAUCUCAUCGUUACAAAAUUAAAUACUAGGCAUCCUUCUCAUUUGCCAUAAUUGCUUAUCUCUGGGUCUGUUGAGUGCCACCUACCCAACAGUUUCCAGUCUUUCUCUAGUCUUUGCAAUAAAUGCUAUUGAAGAAUCGGUAUGCAAGGACCCUUUUUGGGUGCCUGCAGAAACCCAAUCAACAUCUUUGCAAAAGAUUGGUGUUUUUAAAAGCCCUAAUAAACUAUUCUCACCAGCUGAAUGAAUGUUUUGACAGCCUAAUGGUGAUCGAUGUGUUCUCUAGCUUUUAAACAGAGCUGAUGAAUUAUAGAGUAACUUCACAGAUCAAGCCCCAGAUGAGAUUUUCCCUGUGGAGUUGGGCUGUCACCAACGAACUGCUCGAGAAAACCCAGGGCCCUAUUGGCCCCAUGGCCUGGCCAUUUCCUGCAGGAGGAGACAUACGGUAGGGGUGAGGGAUGGACCAUCCUCAUUACAAUGGAGUCAGAGGGAAGGGGUUCAGUAAGGGGUGUCAUAUCUUUCAGCCUCUCCCCAUUCUCAUCUUUCUACACAAUAACCUGCACAGGAUGGCAGAAUGAUCUGGCUCCUUACAACAGGCCUUGCUAGGACCCAGUGUGUUGAGAAGACCACAAAAACAGGACCACCUGCACAAGCCUGGCACUGAGUUCUCUUGAAACUAUGUCCACAACCCUAAGGCGUGGAGUCCAGCAGCAUGGAGUCCACUUCAUCUUGGUCAGCUUCUGGGACAACUGGAUGGCAGGAAUAAUUUUAUUUUCCCACCCGAGUAGACCAACAGGUCCACCUGAGAGUGAAAAGGGGCAUUAUUAAUAAUUAUCUUGAGUUAAUAGACAUAAACCAAGACUGUCUCAGGCCAAUCAGGAUGUCUGUCACCCUAAUUAUAAGGGAUGGAUAAGGGAAAUAAUGUGAAUGAGCCUAUUAUUCUCCAUCCAUGUAGGAUUGUCCUUUAAGCCCCAUAUACUCCAAGUGACAACGGACGCUUUUCUGUUACGUAAUACAAUCCUGGGUACCACCAAGUCCAAAGUAACAAAGGACAGAGCAUUUCCAGCUGCAGGUCCAGGAAUGCCAUUUAACCUAAGGAGAGCCCUGACCUCAGCCAAAGCAGAUCACGCUUUCCCAAGUCAAGGUUAUAAUUAUGCAACGCAGAAGCCUCCUUCCAGUAAUUGUUCUAAUGUGUGUGCAGGCACAUGCAGGCAGUGCCCUAGAAGCUGCCAUCUAUAUUUAGCUGCUAUUAGCAUCGCCUCUCUACAGCAUUCCUAUCUUAUUAUGCAAGGAGCACAGGCUUUGACUGGCACAGUAAUCCCAGGCAGGGCUUAGAAUGGGAAAGAAAUAACUAGUACCUUCUGGACAAAGAAGCCAGUAUUCAAUGCAACCAUUUAUGCUGCGUGAAUGCAAAUUAGCAACUACAACCACAGGAGACUGCCUCAGCUGACUUGUGUGGAGACAGACGCAGGGAACUGGUCGUCGUUUUGUUGGCACAGAUGGUGGCAAAGGGAGCUGGGUUCUGGAGAGAGAAGACAAGGUGGCGACAUCCUUGGCGGAUGCCUGGUCCUGGCGAGGUGGCAGCUCCCUGCGAGCAAGUGCUCUGGUUCCUUUAGCUACAAGGAACAGAAAACACUUCCUCAAACUGGAUUGCACAACAAGUACACACGCAUGGACGGACGUCUAGCAGGAGGAGAGCCCCAGGAAUGGCAGUGCCAUGUCACCAAAGACCCACUGUGCUUCUGUCAUGCCUCCUCCCCGUGGUCCCCCUGUCUCCCCCUAGGUCUCCCCAAAGCCGGUCCCCACCCUGACACCCACCCCUGCUGCCUGCACACGGCACAUUUGUAGCAGUCCCAGGAGAGCAGGCACAACAGCGUCCAGACACAGAGAUGGGGGUUCUCUUUCUCGGUAUCUUUUCAGAGUGCAGAAAUCUUUCCAGAAACUUCUGGCAGACUUUCCUGCAGGUCUCACUGGUCAGAGCUGGCUUACAUGCCCACUCCUAAACCAGUCCCUCGGAGAAGGGGUGCUUAGAUUCACCUGGUCUACCUGCUGGCCUAGGGCAGGUGCCAGUUUCCCCUGGAGGCCCUGGCGUGUGGAGGAAAGUAGAUGCUUGAACAAAGUUGGGGCCUUGGGAAGGAAGAAGUGGAAAGAAAUGGAGGUCAUGUAGACAGUAUGCCACCAUAUAUAUUAUUCUACAAUUUUAAAAAUUACACUGUUUUUUAAAUAUUUAAAAUUACCCUUGUUGGGGUUAGAACCUCAUUUGAGGGCUUUGGUGGGAGCUGUGUGGAUGGCCCCCUGUGUGUGAAGCCUUUCUGCUCCCAGUGGAAAAUAAUCAUGGCCUAAGCAGGAGCAAAAAAACUUCAGGGUAUUUUAUCUCUGGGAACAUUAGGAGCUGAACGGGUUCCCCUGGCAGUCACAGGGCCUGAAUUUCCUCAGGUGUAUCUAUCACCAGGGUCGCACAAGCCAAACCACUGAUGGGGGCUCCCUGUCUCCACCAAGAAGGUCCCUUUCUUAAGUUGUUGUGGCUCAAAAUUAAGUUUCAUCUUUAGCUGGACAGAGUGCCUAGCUCUUAUCAGACAUUAUUAGGUGCAGACUUCUUAAACAUUUGAAGGCUUGGCCAAGAUGAUUGAAGCGAUCUUGAAGGUGCCUGGGAUCCCAGCAUUGCAAAUCUGAGGGCUGGAGGGGCCACUCAUGUUUUCCUGUGUCCCUAAACUUGAAGUUCCUUUCAGCAAGCUGGCACCAGCUACAGGGAAAUCAUUGUCUCCUUUCAGCUGCGUGCACAGUUGUGUAACUGUUUAAAGAAAGGGAUGCAGACACUCAGACAGCAAGUUCAAUGUCUUCCAUCAGAGAAUAAACUUUACUUUAUAUUGAGAUCCAAAUGGACCUAGCAGCAAAGACUGCUAGGACAUAAGAGUAAGUGGAUUUAAAGAAAAAUAAAGCAAAAAAACCCUUCCCAUUAUUUCACCAAGUUAAGGGUACAUUUAAUUCCAUUUGGUAUUCCAAAACUCGAACUCCCUCACUGGCAAAGGUGCCUGGUUAUUUUUCCCUCCCUGAUGUCUCAUGCUGGGAGCUCUGUUGUUAUAAAUCUCAGAACAAUAACUGGAUGGAAGAAUAAAGGUGCAUUAAAAAGCCAUCCCUGUUAUUGCCACUUGUUAUUUAAAGAAUGUCUGAGUGAAGCCAAUUCAACUGCCACAUGGAGCCACACGGAGAUAUUUUAAGGCCCAGAUAUGUUCUUGGUUUGCCUGCUCAGCAGCGUGUCCGAGGAUGCAAGGCGCUUACAUCCAUCAGGUGCUCACGCCAAAUGCCGCCUGGGUGUUCCACAUGCCUCAUGAGCUUAUGGGUAAUCGGCUUUUCACCAUGACAAUGGUAUGUACAAACCCUGACGCUGGUGAACUGGAAAAAAGAACAAAAAGCCAGACAAACUGUGAGUCAAGCAGAGAAGUUAAUGCAACAGAAACACCCCGGAAAUCCUUGGAGUCUGUUGUUAUGCUCAGAUUCUCUUCCCUGGAAAUUACUUACCUCUGUGUACCUUGGUGUCCCCAUCUGUAAAAUGGACUCUUAUGAGGUGCUGUAAGUGCCUAGCGCCAGGCCUGGUCAGUGGGGAGUCACAGAGGGACCUGUUACUAAACUGUAACUAAAUUAGAGAGGGCACUGUAGUUAGUUAUCAUAUGGGGAGGCGCACCAGCAACAGGCUUCACAGUUCCAGUUUCUCUGUAAGGAUUAAACCACCU